AGUAAAAUCUGUCUAAAACAUGGAGCUCAAUCAACCUCUGAUAUUUCUUACUCUAUCUUGGCAGGCAUUUCUCUCUUAUUACAGUGUUUCUUAACUCCCCUAAUGCUUGGCUUACAACCAUCUGACCUUCUUCUGGAGACCAUGCUACUUCCAACAUAAAACAAUGUUUAGAUAUUACUGUAGAGCUACCACAAAACUUUAUCUGUCUGUCCAGAGCAGAGCAGGCAUAAGCUAUUAUCUUCUACAAAUAAAGUUAAAAGUAAGAGGAAAAUACAUGUUGAUUAUAAUCCUAGCAAAUUUGAACUUGUAUCAAAAAAGACAAUUAAAGGAUGCAAUCCAGAUAAGUCCACUUUACAACAAUGUGAGACAGGAAAAAUGGAAAUUUCAAAGCUAUGUUUAGAAAUAAUUGUAAGCUUUACUGAGGUCAGAAGCAUUAUUAUCUGAUAGCCAUGUAUGCAUAUACAGAGUCACUAUGGGGCAUAGUUAAAGUGCUCUGUAUGUGCUUUUCUCUAUUUUAAUUUUUUACAUGAUUUUUAAAUGCAAAUAUUAACUCUAACACUCCUGUGGCUACAGUAAAAAUACAUCAUUCAUUCUUCUCAGUCUUUUAAAUCUUCUAUGUAUUUCUGCAUUUCAGAUUAUAUUGAGCAAAGGUUGUUUUUGUUUUCUGUGAAGAAAAUAUAUAUUCCAGGAGCAGAACUGUCUUGAUUGAUACGUUAUGCAUCCAUCAGCUGGGUUACAUGGACUAUGAGUCAGGGUAUAAUUCUGCCCUAUGUCAGCAUUUUCCUUUCCAAGUGCUUGAGACUGUGCAUUGCAGAAACAUGCUUCUGGGGAAAAUACUUCAGAAAAUUGUGCUAACUCCUUGGCUCCUUCCAUCACCACAAUGUCAUAUUAGGAGGCACAAAGUGACAUCUUGAUAUAUUGCUUAUAGCCUCAUAUAAGCCCAGAGUUAAAUAGGAGACAUGUUCAGGAUCUGAUUGCCAAAAGAGCAAUAAUCCCCAAUCCAUCAGAUCAAGGCUGGAAGAUAAAUGAAGGGGAAUAACACCUGCAAGACAGAUUCCCAGAUGUCUAUAUUUGGCUCCAGCAAUCUGUGCUUCAGAGCGCUUGUCAUGUGUCAAGUUAAGACUGUAACUAGGACCAUCUAGAACUGAAGAAUUUGGAUCCAUCGUUCAUGAGGAAGGACAGGCUACCAGUUUCUCAAGGGGAGAAAAGCUAGGUUGCAUGUCCUAUGACCAUCAGAUCUUGUCUCCCCUAUAAACUGACUAGUAAAAAGAAUUCAUGUGAGGGCAAGAAAAAAAGGAGAUCUACUGAAUUCAUGUUUGUAUUUGACGUUUCAGACAGUUCUGUUUUGGGUGCUCUGAUUCUAAACAGUCCUGGCAAAUCUAGUAUACCUCAUCAGUACUCUGCUGUCUGUAUGAAAUGCAGAGUGUAAGGCAGAUCAGGAGAACUGUUGACUAAGCACAGUAGGAGAUUCAUGAGCGGUCUUCUUUGAACAUGGUCUAUGUAACUAUGUAAGUAUAUAACCAUAUAUAUAUCUAUGUUUCUAGAUAAUCUAUAUGAUUCCCUUGGGUUUCAGCAUUAUUUAGUGUAAACUUCAGUACUACAGGAACUUUUAGCAAAUAUAAUCUAACAAAUAUGUGCCAUUUUACAGCAGCCUACAUGCAUUCCACCUCAUAACAUCCUUGUAAAGCAUAUUGGAAUAUAUAAUAACCCUACAGACACAAAGCCAUGUAGUAUAACCUCUAACACUGUUAGCAUGUCGUAGAAUUGAACACAUGGUGAAGCACACUUCACUACAGGCUAGCAGCAAACAAUCACACUGAAGCUCUGUGCCGUGCUGACACAUAGGUAAACCUACCUUUACUUGAAUAGGCCUAAAUUAGCUAGAUUAAGCAUAGCUAGAUUAUGUUUACACUAUUUAAUCAUAAGUCAUAUUGCUUAACUGUAAUAUUGCUUUUUAACAAUAUUUAGCAAAAUAAACAUUUGCGUGU
rnacentral:lncRNA from 7 species